rfam:Myotis brandtii contig278664, whole genome shotgun sequence.
GGUGGUUCUCGGGUGACGCACCCCGGAAUUGGGCUCCCUUCUCUCGGUGUGUCACCCGAGAACCGCA